rnacentral:rRNA from 1 species
CGCCUCUUGAAUAACCAAAAUAAGAGGUCCUGCCUGCCCUGUGACUAUGGGUUCAACGGCCGCAGUAUUCUAACUGUGCAAAGGUAGCGCAAUCACUUGUCUUUUAAAUGGAGACCUGUAUGAAUGGCAUGACGAGGGCUUGACUGUCUCCUUCCCCUAGUCAAUGAAAUUGAUCUCCCCGUGCAGAAGCGGGGAUUAAAACAUAAGACGAGAAGACCCUGUGGAGCUUUAGACACAAGGAAGCUUAUGUUAAUAAUUUAUAUACAAGAUAAACUAAAUGAGCCCUUCCUAAUGUCUUUGGUUGGGGCGACCAUGGGGAAAAAUAUAACCCCCGUGUGGGAGAAAUAAUAAUUCUUAAAGCCAUGAAACACACUUCUAAGCAUCAGAAUAUCUGACCUAAAGAUCCGGCAAAACCGAUUAACGAAACAAGUUACCCCAGGGAUAACAGCGCAAUCCCCUUCGAGAGUUCUUAUCAACGAGGGGGUUUACGACCUCGAUGUUGGAUCAGGACAUCCUAAUGGUGCAGCUGCUAUUAAGGGUUCGUUUGUUCAACGAUUAAAGUCCU